rnacentral:rRNA from 1 species
UACGAAGGGGGCUAGCGUUGCUCGGAAUCACUGGGCGUAAAGGGUGCGUAGGCGGGUCUUUAAGUCAGGGGUGAAAUCCUGGAGCUCAACUCCAGAACUGCCUUUGAUACUAAAGAUCUUGAGUUCGGGAGAGGUGAGUGGAACUGCGAGUGUAGAGGUGAAAUUCGUAGAUAUUCGCAAGAACACCAGUGGCGAAGGCGGCUCACUGGCCCGAUACUGACGCUGAGGCACGAAAGCGUGGGAGCAACAGG